rnacentral:rRNA from 1 species
UACGUAGGGUGCAAGCGUUGUCCGGAUUUAUUGGGCGUAAAGAGCUCGUAGGUGGUCUGUCGCGUCGGAUGUGAAAACCCAGGGCUCAACCCUGGGCCUGCAUUCGAUACGGGCAGACUAGAGUGUGGCAGGGGAGACUGGAAUUCCUGGUGUAGCGGUGAAAUGCGUAGAUAUCAGGAGGAACACCGGUGGUGUCAACGGCUUUCUGGACCAUAACUGACACUGAGGCACGAAAGCGUGGGUAGCAAACAGG